rnacentral:rRNA from 1 species
AGUGAACGCUGGCGGCGUGCCUAAUACAUGCAAGUCGAACGGAGAUUAAGUAGCUUGCUAUUUAAUCUUAGUGGCGCACGGGUGAGUAAUAUAUAGCUAAUCUGCCCUACACUAGAGGACAACAGUUGGAAACGACUGCUAAUACUCUAUACUCCUUCUAAGCAUAAGCUUAGUCGGGAAAGUUUUUCGGUGUAGGAUGAGGCUAUAUCGUAUCAGCUAGUUGGUGAGGUAAUGGCUCACCAAGGCUAUGACGCGUAACUGGUCUGAGAGGAUGAUCAGUCACACUGGAACUGAGACACGGUCCAGACUCCUACGGGAGGCAGCAGUAGGGAAUAUUGCUCAAUGGGGGAAACCCUGAAGCAGCAACGCCGCGUGGAGGAUGACACUUUUCGGAGCGUAAACUCCUUUUCUUGGGAAAGAAUUAUGACGGUACCCAAGGAAUAAGCACCGGCUAACUCCGUGCCAGCAGCCGCGGUAAUACGGAGGGUGCAAGCGUUACUCGGAAUCACUGGGCGUAAAGGACGCGUAGGCGGAUUAUCAAGUCUCUUGCGAAAUCUAACGGCUUAACCGUUAAACUGCUUGGGAAACUGAUAAUCUAGAGUAAGGGAGAGGCAGAUGGAAUUCUUGGUGUAGGGGUAAAAUCCGUAGAGAUCAAGAAGAAUACCCAUUGCGAAAGCGAUCUGCUGGAACUUAACUGACGCUAAUGCGUGAAAGCGUGGGGAGCAAACAGGAUUGACGAUACCCUGGUAGUCCACGCCCUAAACGAUGUAUACUAGUUGUUGCUUGCGCUAGUCGAGGCAGUAAUGCACCUAACGGAUUAAGUAUACCGCCUGGGGAGUACGGUCGCAAGAUUAAAACUCAAAGGAAUAGACGGGGACCCGCACAAGCGGUGGAUCAUGUGGUAUAAUUCGAAUAUACGCGAAGAUCCCUUACCCUGUACUUGAAUAUCUAACUAAUCGUCCAGAGAUGGAAGAGUGUCUGCCUGCAGUAACUGUGAGACAGGUGCUGCACAGCUGUCGUCAGCGGUGUCAUGAGAUGCUGGGUGAGAUGCGCAAGAAGCGCACCG